rnacentral:rRNA from 1 species
AAGAGACAGCAGUAGCCACGGUAAUACAGAGGGUGCGAGCGUUAAUCGGAUUUACUGGGCGUAAAGCGUGCGUAGGCGGCUAAUUGAGUCGGAUGUGAAAUCCCCGAGCUUAACUUGGGAAUUGCAUUCGAUACUGGUUAGCUAGAGUGUGGGAGAGGAUGGUAGAAUUCCAGGUGUAGCGGUGAAAUGCGUAGAGAUCUGGAGGAAUACCGAUGGCGAAGGCAGCCAUCUGGCCUAACACUGACGCUGAGGUACGAAAGCAUGGGGAGCAAACAGGAUUAGAUACCCGUGUAGUCCCUGUCUCUUAUAC